AACAAAAAAAAAAAAAAAAACAAGAUAUCAAGUAACUAUUACGUAAUUAUCAUUAGAGGAAUGGAAAAAGAAAACAAGAAAAUAAAAAACGAAAAAGUAGAAAGAUUAUUAAAAUUUUCAUCAACACAGAAAAUGCACCAAAAAUACAGUGAGAAACUGAAAAUAAAGGGAAGGAUUUAAUCAAAUUUCCAUUGCUGAAGAGCCAGAAAAAACAUAAUGGAAGUCGUCAGUCUACCAUAACCAUUUGGUAUAAAAGUUAAGUAAAGCAAGCGUUUCCAUUUUUAGAAAUGAAAGACAAUAGUUCAUAAAAAAAGUGCUAAAUUAUAUAUUUAUUUUCGUUUCCUCAGUUUUCUCAGUAAUCAAACAGAGUGUGCAGUAAGGAGCUUUUUUAAAAGUUAUGAAGAUCUUUAAACAAGUAAACAACUAUACAUGAACGCAGAAGCCAUGCAUUAAGUGGUUUAAUUACAAAACUUUUUGCUUAAACAAACAAAGACACAACCGUGAAAAAUCACAUUGAUGAUAAAAAGAUAAGCCAAAAGAACAAGCCAAAUGAUGACAAAACUGAAGCAAAGAACCGUUCUUGCCGCCAGAAAUGGCCACUAAAACAUAAGGGUACCUUUGUUCAGGAUCGAUUUCACACUUAAGGAUCAGAAUAGCAAACCCAUAAAGAGAGAGAGAAAGGAGGGUCUGAUUAUAAUGG
rnacentral:misc_RNA from 1 species